rnacentral:rRNA from 1 species
AACGAACGCUGGCGGCGUGGCUAAGACAUGCAAGUCGAACGGGUCUGUUAAUUUAUUAGCAGACCAGUGGCGAAAGGGUGAGUAAUGGAUAGGUAACGUGCCCCGUACUCUGGGAUAGCCAUCCGAAAGGGUGGGUAAUACCGGAUGAUAUCACCGGCUGACGGGUCGGUGAUCAAAGAUUUAUCGGCGCGGGAGCGGCCUAUCUCCUAUCAGCUAGUUGGUGAGGUAACGGCCCACCAAGGCGAAGACGGGUAGCGGGACUGAGAGGUUGGCCCGCCACAUCGGAACUGAGAUACUGUCCGGACCCCCACGGGGGGCUGCAGUAACGGAUAUUGGGCAAUGGGCGAAAGCCUGACCCAGCGACGCCGCGUGCGGGAGGAAGUCCUUCGGGAUGUAAACCGCUGUCAGGGGGAAGAAAGUCCGUUUCGGCGGAUUGAUCUAACCCAGAGGAAGUCACGGCUAACUCUGUGCCAGCAGCCGCGGUAAGACAGAGGUGGCUAGCGUUGUUCGGUAUCACUGGGCUUAAAGCGUGUGUAGGCGGAAGCGUAAGCAUUUUGUGAAAUCCCCCGGCUUAACCGGGGAAUCGCUUGAUGUACUGCGUUUCUUGAGGCAGGUAGGGGUGCGAGGAACUCUUGGUGGAGCGGUGGAAUGCGUAGAUAUCAAGAGGAACGCCGGUGGUGAGGACGUCGCACUGGGCCUGUCCUGACGCUGAGACACGAAAGCGUGGGGAGCGAACGGGAUUAGAUACCCCGGUAGUCCACGCCGUAAACGAUGCCUACUAGAUUGUGGCGGUUCUGACGCCGGCACAGUCGAAGCCAAAGUGUUAAGUAGGCCGCCUGGGGAGUACGGUCGCAAGGCUA